rnacentral:rRNA from 1 species
UUAAUUGAAGAGUUUGAUCAUGGCUCAGAUUGAACGCUGGCGGCAGGCCUAACACAUGCAAGUCGGGCGGUAACAGGGAGAAGCUUGCUUCUCCGCUGACGAGCGGCGGACGGGUGAGUAAUGUAUGGGGAUCUGCCUGAUGGCGGGGGAUAACUACUGGAAACGGUAGCUAAUACCGCAUAAUGUCUUCGGACCAAAGCGGGGGACCUCAGGGCCUCGCGCCAUCAGAUGAACCCAUAUGGGAUUAGCUAGUAGGUAAGGUAACGGCUUACCUAGGCGACGAUCCCUAGCUGGUCUGAGAGGAUGAUCAGCCACACUGGGACUGAGACACGGCCCAGACUCCUACGGGAGGCAGCAGUGGGGAAUAUUGCACAAUGGGCGCAAG